rnacentral:rRNA from 1 species
UGGGGAAUAUUGCACAAUGGGCGCAAGCCUGAUGCAGCAACGCCGCGUGAGGGACGACGGCCUUCGGGUUGUAAACCUCUUUUGGCAGGGAAGAAGCGAAAGUGACGGUACCUGCAGAAAAAGCACCGGCUAACUACGUGCCAGCAGCCGCGGUAAUACGUAGGGGGCAAGCGUUGUCCGGAUUUACUGGGUGUAAAGGGCGCGCAGGCGGGAUAAAAAGUCAGUGGUGAAAUCCUACAGCUUAACUGUAGAACUGCCUUUGAUACUUUUAUUCUUGAGUUCGGGAGAGAGAGACGGAAUUCCAGGUGUAGUGGUGAAAUACGUAGAUAUCUGGAAGAACACCAGUUGCGAAGGCGGUCUCUUGGUCCGACACUGACGCUGAGGCGCGAAAGCGUGGGGAGCAAACA